UACAGAGGUCUCAAGCGUUGUUCGGAUUCAUUGGGCGUAAAGGGUGCGUAGGUGGCGGGGUAAGUCAGGUGUGAAAUCUCGGGGCUCAACCCCCGAAACUGCACUUGAUACUGCCUUGCUCGAGUACUGGAGAGGAGAUUGGAAUUUACGGUGUAGCAGUGAAAAUGCGUAGAUAUCGUAAGGAAGACCAGUGGCGAAGGCGAAUCUCUGGACAGUUACUGACACUGAGGCACGAAGGCCAGGGGAGCAAACGGG
rnacentral:rRNA from 1 species